GUACUCUCCCAAGAGGUUCAAAAUAAAAACAACAUUAAAUUGCAAAAUAAAAUUUUAUUUCAAAAGCUAAAACUCACAAGUAUGCUGAAAUAAGGCCAGGAUGUAAGUUCAUGCGAGAGGGAAAAAUUGCGGGUUCCCCAGUGCCAGAAACAGUGCCUUGCACAACAGCAAGGUACUCAAUAAACAGAAUGAUGGCUACAGUUUUCCCAGUUCUUUCUUGAAUGCCCCUUACCCCCAUCCCUGGCCCUGCCCUGGCCCCAGCAUGUUCUUGCUUGGCUUCUUGGGCAAUCUAGCCAUGACUGGGCAUGUGGCUAGGGCUCGGUCAGUAUUUGUUGAUUGUAAGACUUGCACUGGACAGGAUUGGAGUAUCGCAGACCACACGAUCACCUGAGGCCUGGCUGCAGGGCCUACAUCAGCCCUAUCUGGGCUGAAGCUGAACUUCAAGGUUACAACAGAGGACCACGCACUCCUGCCCCAUUCAGAUUGCUUAGCUCCGUGCAUGGGAUCAGCCGACAGCAUUCUUCAUUGGCACAGUUUGGCUGAACCAUUCUAUUCCUUCUUCCACAUUGAUCAGGUGGUUUGGAAUCAACUGUGGGUAACCUGCCCAGAGGAUGUCUGCGGGUGAAGAAUCUUCAUUUUCCCCUGGCCUCUGUUUGUCGUGAAUGGGACAGUUCACAGGAGGCGGGACUUCGGGGGUUCAUUUGCUACUAUGACUUUGCCAUCCAAGCCUAGUGUUCAUCCAGCUGGUGUCUGUCUGAGCUUGGAACUUGGAAAAGAGUGAAGCAAGACGUUGUGAAAUAGGCUGGGGAAAUGGAGAAAACCUGGUGUUUUCAAGUAGCACUCCACUCAUUGGCCUGCCAGAUCAGCAGUCUUACCAAACAGCAGCUCCGAGCCACAGUGAAUAUUUCAACACGUCUUACCCGUUUCUGGCCCGUGUGAAUCCCUCCCAGGGAUGAAAGGGGCUUCAUUUACCUCAAAUUAUUAUUAUCUUGCAUAAGAACCAGAAAAUCACCUGCAGGUACUAGGCAAUGGAAAGCAAGGAAAACUGAGGCAGCAACUGUCAAACGUUGGUGAUCUCCUGGAAAGGAGCAAAGUAGGCAGCUGCUGCCAUGCAUCCUGGAGCUGGGGACUAAAUUCACUCCGGUGGCAAACCUCUGAUGCAGGACGUUUGUGAAAAGGCAUUGUACCACGGAAAGCACGAAUUAAAUGUCUUUCUUCUAAUUCUUCUGGCCAAUCAAGGUCCCAGCAAGCCGCUGACAGAGAGGGUGAGAGAAGGGAAAAAGGCAAGAUUUAUCUAGGCCUUUGGUGUCCUCAUCUACGGUAUCUCAUUUUAUCCUCUCUACCUCCCUGUGAACUAGAGCUUUUUAUACCCAUUUUGACACCUGAAGAAACCAAGGCUCCAGCAAUUAAGUAACUUGCCCGAGGAUGGAGUACAGAGCCAGGCUUCCAAUCCAGGGGUCAGUUUUCAGAGCUUUUGCUCUUCCUGCAUCCUGGGACGAAGUGGAAUACAACAGAAAACCUCUACUGGGAUCACAUGGCAAGUUUACUCCUCUCCGGGGAGACUCUAGCCCUUUUUCCCCAACCUACGAAAAAGAAAAGGCCGAGGGGAGACUGAAGAUCUUUUGUGAGAUCUGCUAGAACUUCAUGAAAAGGUGCUGACACCACAAAGCAAGAACUUGGAUCCCAUCCCUGCCUCCUGGGAUUAACCUAUAUUUCCUCAUUGGCCUGAGAUCCAAGAGACAAAGAGAGACAUGCCCCAGAGCACAGGCAGCAGAAAAGUUCGGGCGAGUUCUGGGAGACUCUGACCUGCCCCAGGCUAGGGAGGGCACUACCUGGAGAGUUCUGCCAGAUUCUUCUGAAGCUGUCACUUGGGCCUGGCCCCUCCUCCUUCCCCUCUCUCCUCCCCCACGUCUGACCCUGCAGAGAGGCACGUCCAGCACGAAUUCCUCCAAACCUCAGAUGCCUUUAGGAUUUUAAUGUGUCUAAAGAGUUCCCUUCCUUGACAAGCGGCAGCAUUAGUCAAGUUGAGUGGGUGGGAAGGGCAUUUCCCGUCAAUCCAGGGCCCCGGAGGAAGGGGAGACCCUCCUCCCUCCCAGCCUUGGCAAGCAGCUCCUUCAGAGAUCCACGUGGGUGGCAAUUGAGUCCAGAGGAGCCAAAGGGUUGCUUGCUGGGCAGGAAUGCCCACAGGCCGCACCUUCCUCAGCCCUCCUAGCACUUCAUCCUGUCUGGACCCGUGGAGGGGGUGGCGGUGCCAGGGAGUGGGUUCUCCUGUGUCUGACUCCAACAACCGGUUUAUUGUGAUGAUUC